UCGAACUGGACUUUUAUUACAUUUUCAUAUUAAGCUCAAUCCUUUAGCCCAUUCCUUUGAACAUCUGUUACAAGCCCACACGAUUAGGUUUCUUCUUCAUUUUUCCUUUCACGCCUGCGACCUUCCUUCUUCCUCUCAAGACGACCCCCCUACGAAAUUUCACAGAGACUUAAAGCUGCGUUCGAUCUUCGUAACGUCUCAACCAUCCAUUAAUCUGUUCUUUACUCCGAGUUUUUCCUUGAUUAUUCCACUCCUCCCGCGUUUCAUUUAUUCCUCAUCACCACCUCUGUCAGCUUCCUCACACUCAUUAUCUCAAAGAAGCGUUGUGACUCUCCUCUCCACAAACGGCCAAAAAACUAUCCAAACCAUGACGGCUUCCCAACUAUCGCUCUCUGCAUUGAAUCGUUGUAAUGGCGACAAUUGUCACACGGCUGCUCCCUUUUUGGGAAGCUCGGAAUGUGAAGAAAGGCGUUGAAGAAGCUGGGAUGAUGAGUACUGAAUCCUUACUAAACAACUUCUUAAGUGUUUUUCGUUACUUCCCGUUAAAAACUCAAUUUUUAGGUCUUUUAGUUUGCUGUUAGAAAUAUUGAACCUUGCGUCUAGGGAUUGAUUCAUAUAGGCUGAGCUUUAUGUGUAGAAGACUAAAGGAAAGAUCUUUCAAAAUCAAAGCUUUGAUUCUUCGGCUGACAAUGCGUUAUCUCAAAUAUUUUCUCUACAAAUAAUGUCUAACAAGAGUUUUGACCAAAAAAAAAAAUAUAUAUAUAUAUAAUGUCUAACAAGAGAAAGUGGUGAAAACAAAUCGUGAUACCACUAUGAACAGUUCAAAAGUGAUCGAUCAGGUUCACUGAUUCGGUAGAGACAACAAGUGAUCAUUUUGGAGAAAGCAAGGCAAGAUUUAGAAACACUGAGGGAACACAUCUUUUCACGGCUGAUGAAAGAGCUCCAAGUUACUGAUUUGUGGAAGCUGCUGCAAACUUAUUCCCCAGGGUCAUAUGCAUGAGUAUGUUGACAGCAACGGUUUUUAAGUUCUGUGUAUCAAAGACACUCUCUACUCCCGAUGAGAUUAACGCUAUGCUUUUACAGCUUAGUGACUCCUUUAAAGCCGCCGCAGAUCAAUAUGCUCAAUGCGUAAGCCGUUUCGUCAGAUGUACAACUUAAUGUUGUUCUAUAUCAGUGAAAACACUUAAGCUAACAGCUACAACAUUCACGAAGCAACUUCAUGCAAUGGUCAAGAAAAAGUCACCUCCACCGGCUAGAAACCAAGCUCCAGCUCCGACAGAGUGAUAACAAGCGUUCAAAGCAUCUUCCUUACGAACUCCACUGCUUGGUCGCAAAUAGUCAAUGAACAACCAGUGGCUGGAAAAACAUCGAAAGGUGGUCAUGGUUAAUGAGGAGUUUUUAAGGCCACAACCCUGCACAGCUACGAGAGCCACUAAAGAGCCUUUGGGAAAGACUGCUCGAGCAGCUCACCAAGAGAUCCAAGCACAUAAAAGAAAUGGUGGUUUCCAACAAGUUUAUUGUGGAUUAUGUCACUGUUUUCAGAUAUCAUUAAACUCAGUGUAGCAUCUAUUACGUAAUGUUUCUUUUAGAUUUGUAAAACUGGAAACACACCCUGACAUUCAAAAUAUUGGUGACUAAAUGCAGGUUCAAAAAAAAGGUUGAACAGGGUCCCCCUAGGCUUCCUAUAGGGCACCACCAAAGUACAGUUCAACUACUCUAAACAUCAGACAUAUUUGCACUGCUGGUCACAAAAUAACAGAGUAUUUUUAAGUAUCCACAUUUAAACAUCAAAAUUCAUAUUCCAGACGCUUGCCACAGCCUCCGUAGAUUGCUGGGGAAUAGAAACUGGAAUCUCUGUUGCAGCAACCAACACAUAUGAUGGUGUAGAAAACAGAGGUCGGGAUCAUUCUCCUUAUAGUUAAUACCAUUAUAUUCCUGGGUUCUAAAAGUUUAUGUCCAUAUCUGUGCGAUGUAGCUAAUGCGAACAAAUCUAGAGCUCUACAGAUAAACCAAGAAUCUUUGUACAUAGUGAAAGCCACAUGUCUUCAUAUUCUGCCUAUGUCAGCAUUGAGAGUUGAAGUAUUCUCUGAAACCACAAUGCUUUGUUCAAGAAUUAUUAUACAACUUUUAUGUCAA